rnacentral:snoRNA from 8 species
UGAUGGCAAUGAUGAUUUACACUUACUGUUGUUCACCUGAUAACAUAAAUAUGAGGGUGUUCAGUCACUACCUCAUCUGAUGCCAUCA